CUUAAAGGAAUUGACGGGGAGCACCACAACGGGUGGAGCUUGCGGUUUAAUUGGAUUCAACGCCGGAAAUCUUACCGGGACCGACAGCAAUAUGAAGGCCAGGCUGAAGACUUUGCCGGAUUAGCUGAGAGGUGGUGCAUGGCCGUCGUCAGUUCGUACUGUGAAGCAUCCUGUUAAGUCAGGCAACGAGCGAGACCCACGCCCACAGUUGCCAGCGUACUCUCUGGAGUGACGGGUACACUGUGGGACCGCCGCUGCUAAAGCGGAGGAAGGAAUGGGCAACGGUAGGUCAGUAUGCCCCGAAUAUCCCGGGCUACACGCGAGCUACAAUGGUUGGUACAAUGGGUAUCUACCCCGAAAGGGGACGGGAAUCUCCUAAACCAAUCUUAGUUCGGAUUGAGGGCUGCAACUCGCCCUCAUGAAGCUGGAAUCCGUAGUAAUCGCGUUUCAACAGAACGCGGUGAAUACGUCCCUGCUCCUU
rnacentral:rRNA from 1 species